rnacentral:tRNA from 1 species
ACGUUUUUAGUUUAAUUUAGGAAAAAACAUCAAUCUUCUAAAUUGAAUAUAUAGGUUCAAUUCCUGUAAAACGUA